UACGGCCGCAUCACGUUGAAACACCGGUUUCCGUUCGAUCAACGAAGUUAAGCAUCGUCGAGCCUGGCCAGUACCUAGAUGGGUGACCGCUUCGGAAUACCAGCUGUUGUGA